UACGGGAGGCAGCAGUGGGGAAUAUUGGACAAUGGGCGAAAGCCUGAUCCAGCCAUGCCGCAUGAGUGAAGAAGGCUUUCGGGUUGUAAAGCUCUUUUAGUGAGAAAGAUAAUGACGGUACUCACAGAAGAAGUCCUGGCUAACUCCGUGCCAGCAGCCGCGGUAAUACGGAGAGGGCUAGCGUUAUUCGGAAUUAUUGGGCGUAAAGAGCGCGUAGGCUGAUUAGUAAGUUAAAAGUGAAAUCCCAAAGCUUAACUUUGGAAUUGCUUUUUAAAACUGCUAGUCUAGAGAUUGAAAGAGGAUAGAGGAAUUCCUAGUGUAGAGGUGAAAUUCGUAAAUAUUAGGAGGAACACCAGUGGCGAAGGCGUCUAUCUGGUUCAAAUCUGACGCUGAGGCGCGAAGGGCGUGGGGAGCAAACAGGGAUUAGAUACC
rnacentral:rRNA from 1 species